rnacentral:rRNA from 1 species
AGAACGAACGCUGGCGGCGUGGAUAAGACAUGCAAGUCGAACGAGGUAGUUUGGUAGCAAUAUCAAACUGCCUAGUGGCAAACGGGUGCGUAACACGUAGGUUACAUUCCGGAAAGUGUGGGAUAGCCCAGGGAAACUUGGAUUAAUACCGCAUGUGAUCGCAAGAUCAAAGGCGAAAGCCGCUUUCUGAUUGGCCUGCGCCCUAUCAGCUAGUUGGUGAGGUAAUGGCUCACCAAGGCUACGACGGGUAGCUGGUCUGAGAGGACGACCAGCCACACUGGAACUGAGACACGGUCCAGACACCUACGGGUGGCAGCAGUCGAGAAUCUUUCACAAUGGGGG